rnacentral:tRNA from 1 species
GCCUGAAUAGCUCAGUCGGUUGAGCCCGGGGCUCUGGUCGAUAACCUGUUCCAAAAGGUUGUGGGUUCGAUUCCCACCUCAGCCA